CUGGCUCAGGAUGAACGCUGGCGGCGCGCUUAACACAUGCAAGUCGAACGGUAAAGCACCUCCGGGUGUGCAUAAAGUGGCGAACGGCUGAGUAACACGUGGGCAACCUGCCCCCCGCACCGGGAUAGCCUCGGGAAACCGUGGGUAAUACCGGAUACUCCGCCACCCCCGCAUGGGGGAGGCGGGAAAGCGUACACGGCGGGGGAUGGGCCCGCGGCCUGUUAGCUCGUUGGCGGGGUAACGGCCCACCAAGGCGAUUAUGGGUAGCCGGGUUGAGAGACCGACCGGCCAGAUUGGGACUGAGACACGGCCCAGACUCCUACGGGAGGCAGCAGUGGGGAAUCUUGCACAAUGGGCGAAAGCCUGAUGCAGCCGACGCCGCGUGCGGGAUGAAGGCCCUCGGGUUGUAAACCGCUUUCAGCAGGGACGAGGCGCAAGUGACGGUACCUGCAGAAGAAGCCCCGGCUAACUACGUGCCAGCCGCUGC
rnacentral:rRNA from 1 species